GCCCGGGUGGCGAAACUGGCAGACGCAACGGACUUAAAAUCCGUUGGCCCGAAAGGGCCGUGCGGGUUCGAGCCCCGCCCCGGGCACCA
rnacentral:tRNA from 1 species